AGCUGCACCUGCAGCAUAGGGAAGUUCCUGGGCCAGGGGUCAAAUUGGAGCUGCAGCUGCAGCCUACGCCACAGCCACAGCCACACUGGAUCUAAGCUGCAUCUGUGACCUACACAGCAGCUCAUGGCAGCACCAGAUCCCUAACCCACUGAACCAGGGCGGGGAGGGAACCUGCAUCUUCACAGGGACGACGUUGGUUCCCUAACCCACUGAGCCACAGUGGGAACUCUGGGAAACUCCAAAUCAAAUUCUUUCAGAUUGCAUUCAACGUUUCCUAUAGGGGUGCAGUCACCUCAGCGUUCAGGGAGGUGACUAUAUCCCUACAGGAGAAUGGAGGAAGGGUCUAUUUCCAAGCUUACCUCUGGUUGUCGACUGACCUCAGGUCCUCCAUGGCUGUUAGCCAGAGACAUCAGUUUCUUGUCUCUCUACAGGACAGCUCACAAAACGGCAGCUUCCUUCCCCUAACCCAAGCACUCCAAACAAGAGAGAGAGAUGAAAGUCACAUUCUUUUGUAACAGACUCACUUUGCAAUACCCGAUUUGUUAGGAGAGAGCCACGAGGUCCAGCCCACACUUAGAGAGAGAAGAUGAACAAGGAUGUGACCCCUGGAAGUCGGCUUAGGGGCUUCCUGCCACACUGAGUCAUUUUCUUCUUCCCAGCCGUUACCCUUCCUACCAUCCCUUCUUUAUAAGAUGAACUAGGCCAUGCAAUACGGCCAACACGUCAACCCAGGCCUGACAGUCCAUACUUGAAGCACAUCCUGCAGUAUGCUACUCAUACAAUACUGUGCUUCUUAAAAAAUGAAUGCAGGCGUUCCCGUUGUGGCGCAGUGGUUAACGAAACCAACUAAGAACCAUGAGGUUGCAGGUUCGAUCCCUGCCCUUGCUCAGUGGGUUAAGGAUCUGGUGUUGCCAUGAACUGUGGUGUAGGUUGCAGACGCGGCUCGGAUCCCGCGUUGCUGUGGCUCUGGCGUAGGCCGGCGGCUACAGCUCCAAUUUGAUCCCUAGCCUGGGAACCUCCAUAUGCUGUGGGAGCAGCCCAAAAAAGGCAAAAAGACCAAAAAAAAAAAGAAAAAAGAAAAAAAGAAGGCGGCAGAAUGAAGCCGGGGUGGGUGAGUGGGGAAGUCUUUUCAGCAAUCACAUUGUUUGGAUGUGUUCAGGUAUUUAGACUCCCAGAUCUAUAAUCUGUAGGAUUUAAAGGCAAUAGGCUCCCCUUCUUCAGAAUGUGCCUGCAUUCUCGCCAGUAUAUCCUUGAAAGCCUUUGCCCUGCCUAUGCUCUUUGGAAUGUCAGUGACUUAGAGCACUUAGGCAGGAAAAGACUCAAGGUUCCCAAUGAACGUCUAGGUCUAGGAAGUGCAGCUGAAGAGAGUAAUUAUAUGCCAAGAGCCUGUCAGGCUUGUUGUACUUUUGAGACUUUGUUCUGAAUAGUCUUGGGGACACAAGCUGGAGGUGGCUUAGGAAGAUGGGAGGUUUAGAUAGACGAGCAGAAAUGGCUGGACAAGGAUGGUGUUGAAAUGGCAUUCUGCUAAACCCCUGGGGGAGCUUAGCCAGCCAUUGGUUAACGAAACUGACUAGGAACCAUGAGGUUGCAGGUUCGAUCCCUGGCCUUGCUCAGUGGGUUAACGAUCCAGCAUUGCCGUGAGCUGUGGUGUAGGUCACAGACUCCGCUUGGAUCCCACAUUGCUGUGGCUCUGCUGUAGGUUGGUAGCUACAGCUCUGAUUCGACCCCUAGCCUGGGAACCUCCAUAUGUCACGGGGGCGGCCCUAGAAAAGGUAAAAAGACGGAAAAAAAAAAAAGAAAAAGAAAAGAAAGCUAGUCUUUUGUCCUUUUUUUCGUGGCACAUGGAGUUUCCCAGGCUAGGGGUCAAAUUGGAGCUGCAGCUGCUGGCCUACACCACAGCCACAGCAAUGCAGGAUCUGAGCCGAGUCUUCAACCUACACCACAGCUCACGGCAACACUGGAUCCUUAACCCACUGAGCGAGGCCAGGGAUCAAACCCGAAACCUCCUGGGUCCUAGUCGGAUUUGUUUCCAUUGCACCAUGACGGGAACUCCAAGAAGCUAGUAAGGACUGAGGUUAGCUGUUUGAAAGAAAAACGUUUGAGUCAGUGCUGAUUUACUGAGAAGUUACUGAAAACAAUUUAUGAGAUUUUAAAGAUACACUGUAGACUUUUUCUAAUUUUAAUAAAUUAAAAUAAUCAUGUUGGUGUGAUUAUUGCUUGGUAAAUACAGAGCUCCUUUCCUUCUGGAAAUGACCACCUACUAUUCUUUUCUUCAGUCCCUCCCCCGACCACACACACACACACACACACACACACACACACACCCGUGCACAUGAUCACCAUGGAAGCCACUAUGAGUGCCCCAUAAUUCUGCCCAUCUGUAGGUGACUGGCCAAGGGUAGUACACUUAGCUGAGCUGGGACAUCCCUAAUCCUUAACUGGUUUGGAUUUAGGAACAGGUGGUCUAGUCUUUCUUAAGAACCCCAGGACGUUUUCUCUUACUUGGAUCAGAGAAAACUGGUCUGGAAAGCGGGGAGGAAACAACGUAGACAAACGGAGUAAAGGCACUGAGAUGGAGAAGGAACACAGGCAGCAUUUGCAGUUCUGGUUCCAGUAAUUGCUGAGGCUGGGCUGUUCUCUCAUCAUUUAGUUUCUGAGAUAGAACAGGAUCUUCAUAACUUCCCCCUUUAGCUAAAGCAUAUUUGCUUUGGGUUUCUUCUCUUGCAACCAAAGGGGGAAAAAAAAAAAAACACCUAAGUUAUUCACAACUACACGAUAGAAACAAUUGUCAAAUUAAUAAAAAUAUAAGGAAGGACACAAACAAUGACCAAUACUUCUACCAGUUUGAGAUAAUGUCUCCAACCAUUUUGGAAUAUUUUUCCAGCCACUUUUCUAUGCAUUUACAUAAAUGAAAUUAGAAAUUUGAUAGGAGUUUUAAAUUCACUUUUUUUUUUUCCACUUACGGAUUAUAUUGUGGGCACUUUCUUGUGUCUAUGAAUGUAUCCUUCCAAAAUACCGUUUUUGUUACUCUAUGAUGAUUUAUUUCAUGAGAAGCAAGUGAGCUGAUCUGGUUGACAUUUUGGAAAGAUUCUGGCUACAGAGUGGGUAUCAGAUUGGAGAUUAACAUGGAGAAAAAUGAGUUGAGAAAGGUUGUUGGAGUCCAGGGGACUGCCCACGCUGGGUAAGGCUAGGGUGGUGACAGUGGGGAGAGAAGAUGAAGGAUUCAGAAUGUGUUAAUUGGGGUCAGGGAGUAAAGGGAAACAAGACGUCUAGCACAACUACGUGGAUGGUACUGUAGGAGGAAACGUCCUGAUAAAAAAGUAGAGAGACCCCAGCCAUGAUGACUCAGCAAAGUCCAGCCAAUUGCUCCUAACCACCCCUCCCCUAUGCAUCUGCUUCUGUAAAGUUGCUUCCGCAAUUACAACCCUGCCUGUUCUCACUCUGGUCCGACCAGCCAAGCAUACACCCAGAAGAGGUUGCCCAUAAAAGCCUUGUGAAACCCUUCUUCGGGGCUCAGGCUCUGGAGAGCGAUCUCCUCUGAGCCCGCUGGAGGCAUAAUAAACCUGAGUUCUCCAACUCUCCAAAGGCUCACUUGGUUUCUCACUGGGUAAAGACCUGAUACACUGCAGCCCCAGGGCUGUUGCUAGAGCUGAUACACUCUGGCCAGGGGGCUGCUGGGCGGCUGCCUUAAGAGUACAGCCAUUUUGGGAGGACACAAUUCUGCAGGAGAAGAAGUUUGGAGGGAAUAAAAUGAGUUUUUGGGUUUUGGGUUUUUUGUUGCUUUUUAGGGCCGCACUCAUGGCACAUGGAAGUUCCCAGGCUAGGGGUCAAAUCGGAGCUGCAGCUGCUGGCCUACACCACAGCCACAGCAACGCCAGAUCCAAGCCGUAUCUGUAACCUACACUGCAGUUCAUGUUAAUGCUGGAUCCCUGACGCACUGAGUGUGGCCAGGGAUUGAACCCUUCAUGGAUACUAGUCGGGUUCGUUUCCGUUGAGCCACAAUAGGAACUCUAUGAGUUUCAUUUUGGACAUGCUGAGUUCUCAGGGCUUUGUGGACAUUCAAGUCCUGAUAUAUGGAUUGAAGCAGGAGAUAAAGAUUUGGAAUAUAGGCAGGAGAUAAGGCUUCAGAGGCCAUUAGUGUCCACAGGUGAUUAAAGCCACAGGAAUGAAUGACAUCACCCAGGCGGAGGGUUAAGAGUGAGGAGGGACCUGGGAGUUCUCACUGUGGCUCAGCGGUUAACAAACCUGACUGGUAUCCAGGAUGAUCACAGGUUCAAUCCCUGGCAGGUUUAAUCCCUGCAGUGGGUUGGGGAUCUGGUGUUGCCAUGAGCUGUGGCGUAGGACAGCAGCUGAUGCUGUGUUUGACCCCUGGCCUGGGAACUUCCAUAUGCCUCAGGUGCAGCCCUGGGAAAAAAAAAAAAAAGACACACACACACACACACACACAAAGAGUGAGAAGGGACCUGAGGAGGAUAGAAGAAAGAAUCUCUAUCAGGGAGACCAAGGAGGAGCCGCCAGAGGGGUAGGAAGAAAAGGAGGCGAGCACAGUAUCCCGGAGCCCAAAUGAAGACACUUACUUAAGGAGGAGGCA
rnacentral:lncRNA from 1 species